GACUUGUGGCACUACACUUAACUGGUUCUUAAAUCUUUUUCUCAGUUGUUACUGCCUCUAUGGCUAACCCAGCUGACCCUUGACGCCUUCUCUGUGAGCUUGUUCUCUCCUGUAGCUCUUGUUUGAAUACUUUGAAGUGCUCUAUAAGUAUUUCCAUUUUACAGAUUGUCAUGAGGGAGUUCCAGCUACAAGUCAAUAUUUUCACAUUUUUUUCAGCUCUAACAAAUAGAGUAUAACCCUAGAGCAUGUUGGUGUUGAGGUCCUCUACCCACAAGGCAGCACUAACCCAGCCAACGUCUCCAAGAGUCCGAAUUUUUCAUAAAGAGGUCAAACCUCCUUGAUAUGCUAAACCUGGGGAUAACCAUUCCGCUCUUUUCCCCUAUCUACACUGUACCGUGGCUCUCCAAUGCCUUUCUCGUACACAUCUUGGCACAAGACCUAAUCAGCAGGCUCAUUGCCAAAGAAGAUGUCCAACAGUUACAUUCCCAAUCUUUAAUAAGGAUUCUCCUUGAAUCAAAAUGUUUUGCUUUUCCUACAAAAUGUAGGUCUUACACAUUUCCAAGGAUAUUUGCAAGGACCAUAGGGAGUAGAAGUUGGCUAUCUGUGUCCUGCUAUAUCAACUUGGUUUAAAGAUUGCAAAAAGAAUUGGAGAGGCCCGUGGGAAAACAUGAAACCAUAAAAAGUGAACUUAACCAGGAAUAAGACAAGGAAGUCUGGAUUUGCGAGAACUUUAUGAAUUAAGGAAUCCAAUCUAGAGCCACUGAUCUCCUGUAUUCUUUACAUUUGGAGGAAUCAACCAUGAAGGAGUUGGCCACGGUGUCAGCAUGUGAAGGCAGAGGAACUCCAGCUCAGAGAGAGGCUUCCCUGGAUCCACUUGCCUCAACGACCCUCUGAUGGAAUCCAGGGGAGAUCAAACAAUGGAUGUGAUCAAGAAACAAACAAAUGGAGAAUGAAGAAAGAGCAAAGAGACAAGAAUAACAAAGAUACAGCAUAAGAAUAUGAAUUGAGCUGUUUUUUCUAAUGUACUUUGGACAUAUAAGAGGCAUCUUCAUCUCAGAAAUUGACCUUGGACUUAUCUAGCAUAUUAUUCUUUUGUUGAACAACGUUAAACAUCUGCUUACCAAAUAUUUGCUGCCAUUCUAAAAACUUCUAAGCACUGUGCUCAAUAGAAAACUGAAGUAUUUCACAAAAUCUAUUCUCAUAGUAGCUUUUUAAAAAAGAUAUUUCUGAUUACAUGUUCCACUUGUGCACCUGAGCACCUAGAGAAAGGAGACCUUGGGAGGACUAUUUCUAACCAGCAACUGAAAACAUCAACAUUCUUAUUCCCAUAACCACACUUACUUCAGUAUAAUAGGUGAUUUCACCUUUCUUAGAAGAUUGAGUUUAUUGACUUGCCCAAAUAAUGUAAUAAUGGGGUAAGUGUGUGUAUUAGUCCAUUUUCAUGCUGCUAUGAAGACAUACCUGAGACUGGGUAAUUUAUAAAGAAAAGAGGUUUAAUUGGUUCACAGUUCUGCAUGGCUAGGAAUCCUCAGGAAACUUAUAAUCAUGGUGGAAGAUGAAACAGGCACAUCUUACAUGGUGACAGGCCUUACUCAGAAAGCACCCUGCGCUGGCAUUUCAUAAGUAAACAGAAGAAAUGUCCUACUUGCAAAACUCUGAAUAUAGCUGAAUCCCUCAAGGGCAUAGAGGUUUAAGCAUACAGAAGUCAAAGGCAACCUUUUUGUUCUGUGAAGGUGCUGCCAUUAGGCAGCUGAGGACCAGCUGUGGGACCAACAGUCUUGGGUUGGAGCCUUUUUGAGAUAAAGGAAAGACAAUACCUUGGACUUAAAUAAGCAAUUCUGCUUUCCAAGUGUUGGUAGGCAGAACAAUGAUCCCCCCAGAAUAUUCACAUUUUGACUCCUGGACUUGUGAAAAUGUUAUGUUAAAUGGCCAAUGGAAGAAAAGUUACAUAUGAAAUUAAGGUUCCUAAUUAACUGACUUUAAGGUAAGAAUAUUAUGCCUGAUUUACCUGUGGGCCCAAUGUAACUGCAAGGGCCCUUAAACAAGGAAGAGGGAAGCAGAAGUGCCAGAACCAGAGGGAUAGCAUCAUGAGAAGGAUUUAACUGGCCAUUGCUGGCUUUGAAGAUGUAAGAGGGUCAAGAGACAAGAAAUGUGAGUGACCUCUAGAAGCUGGAAAAGGCAAGUAAAUGGAUUCUCUCCGAGUGUCUGCAGAAAGAAAAGCAGCCUUUUCAUCAACUUGAUUGUCACUCUGUGAGACUGAUUUUGGACUUCUGACUUCCAGGACCCUAAGAUAACAAAUUUGUGUUGUUUUUAGAACAAAGUUCCUGGUAAUUUGUUACAUCAAUAAUAAGAAAUGGACACAUCAAGAAAAUUUAAAAAGGAGAAAAGAACAAAUAAAAAGAGUAACAUAAAGACUAGAUGAGCACAGGGAACUCGCAUGUGUGCACAUUCCACAAAAGAAGCUAUAACGUGAUUACAGAAAGGAAGUCAUAAUAAACAAAUAAAUGUAUAUUGGAAAUAUGGAAAGGAAUACAGAGAACAAUGCAAUAUAAGGACAGACAAAGGCAUCCAGCUAUGAUUUUUCUCUCUUUAGCAGUUUGAAAGACAGAAAAUAUUCUUUUCUUUUUUUCGGUUCUGCAGUUCUGAAUUUUGAAAACUUUGCAAAAAAUUAAGCAUUCAAUUCAAAUGCCAAAUAAGAAAACUUUUAGUGCAAAUUCAAAGAAAAAUAAAAAUAGGUAUCUCAUAGUUUCAACAUAUGUUCAAAUCUUUCAAAUUUGAGCGAGAUAGGCAAGGUGCUUUAGGUUCCUUCGCUUCUCUCACUUCAAGCUAUUUGUUAGUUAGAAUGUUUGAUUUUCUGAUCCUCUGCCCAGAAAAAUGUAUUGCCAGUGGAAAGUAUUGUCAAUAAACAACCAUAGAAUUCUGCUUUAAAUCGUUCUGAUGCUUAUAAGAAAAGACACGAAUUCAUUUUGCAGACAUGCUUUUUCUGUUCACAAUUGCAAUUGAAAAUUGCAGUGAGCUACUUAAAAGCAGAACCGUUGAAUGGAACUUGUCUUAUAACAGAACCAGUUUUAAAUGGACAAUUGUAUACCUUAGAGCUGUCACCAGCCUUUAGCCUUGUACACAGCAUACAUGUAAUCAGUUGCCAUCAUACAUUGAAGAUAGUUAAGAAUAGAGUUACUGAGCAUCUAUUGUCAUCACAAAAAUGUGAAAGCUACUAAGGCAAAUAUGUGAAUAUAAACACAAUCCCUGGCCUCAAGGUAUUUAAAGUAAAAUUGUUCUAACUACAAUAAAAUUCAG
rnacentral:lncRNA from 1 species